UGUUUUGCUAUUGGAUUGAGAACAACGUACAAACCUUAUCGAUAAACAAUUGGAGGGCAAGUCUGGUGCCAGCAGCCGCGGUAAUUCCAGCUCCAAUAGCGUAUAUUAACGUUGUUGCAGUUAAAAAGCUCGUAGUUGAAAUGAAGGGUAGUUGUGUAAUGAAUACAUUCGUGUAUUUUGUUAUUCAAGUACCCUCCUUCUAAAUUCGAUAUAUGAGUAUUAAUUUACUUGUAUAUGGUUUUAGACAUUUACUGUGAGAAAAUUAGAGUGUUCAAAGCAGGCAUUUGCUUGAAUAUAUUAGCAUGGAAUAAUCAUGUAUGAUUUUCAUGAUGUAUUUGAUUGGUUUGGUUGAUGAGAAUAAGAUUAAAAGGGACAGUUGGGGGUAUUCAUAUUCAAUAGUCAGAGGUGAAAUUCUCGGAUUUAUGGAAGAUGAAC
rnacentral:rRNA from 1 species